rnacentral:tRNA from 1 species
GCCGAUAUAGCCAAGUAGGUAAGGCGGUGUUUUUUGAUGACAUUAAUGCGGGGUUCGAUUCCCUCUAUCGUA